rnacentral:rRNA from 1 species
GGUAUUUUUUCUUUAUUCAUCCUUCAUGGAUCCUUUAUUUAUCUAUAAAUAUUAUAAUUAGAAAGGUUUUUUCUUUCUGAUUGCCCCAAUCAAAUUAAUCAAUAACAUACUAUAUCUAUAAAUUAUUGUUACUAUUAAUAAAAAUCUAUAGGGUCUUCUCGUCUUUUUAAUUUAUUUUUGCCUUUUGACAAAAAAGUUAAAUUCAACCUUUUAGGUUGAGACAGUAAAAAUUUCAUUAAAUCUUUCAUUCCAGUCUCCAAUUAAAAAACUAUUGAUUAUGCUACCUUUGCACGGUCAAAGUACCGCGGCUCUUUAAAUCAUCAGUGAGCAGAUCUUACUUUAUAUGUAUCAUUUCUUUCAUAAAGCA